GUUAAGAUAUGGAUUGAGAGGAUUCCAACUAAUUCGGUUAGGAGUGUUGAGCUGGAAUACUAUCGGUAGCAAACGGGCUCUGUUGCCACCCAUUUGUUUUUGAUAAUGGAGCCUCCAAAUCGACGAUCGGCACCGUUGAAAAUGAUCUAUACCACUUGAAGUAUCUAGAAAUCAAAUUUCAUACUUUUUCGAUAUUGUUCUCUUAUCCAUCAAGUGGGCGUAAAAAUGAAUGGCUGAAAAUGAAUAUCCUCUAAAAAGUGAUGAUAGGAAUUUUGUAAUCAUGAUCGAGAGUAUAGAUCUUGUUCUAAAUAGUUUAAAGAAUUUUCUAACCAAAAUUCAAUUGAUUUGAAUAGUUUUACACCGUUAAACGAGAAAACGCCUCAUAUCUACCAUUAAAAUUAUAAAUUUUGAAACCCUUUGAUCAUUAGGUCAAUGAUGUCGAAAAGAUUUGAAAUUUGAUUUCUAAAUACUUCAAGUGAUAUAGAUCAUGUUCAAUGGUGCCGAUCGUCAAUUUAAAAGCUCCAUCAUCGAAAACAAAUGGGUGGCAACGGAGCCCGUUUGCUAUCGAUAGCAUUCCAGCUCAACUCUCGGUUAGGAUAUGAAUCGAACUUAUUCGGUUAAGAUAUGAAUCGAGACGGUUCCAACUAAUUCGGUUAAGAUAAGAUAGAGGUGGUUUCAACUACUUCGGUUAGAAUAAGAAUAAAGUUGUUAUUUUGUUCUUAUCUUUUUGUAAGCCGAAAGGCUAUAAAUAGGGGCCCUACUGGCUCUUGUAAAUCAUUCCAAUUCUCAUUCCAAUUUUAGAGAGAAUUAAUAUACAGACUCUUCCACAUAAAUAUUCUUUUCUUUUCUUUCCUUUUUAAUCUAGUGUCAGAUAUCCAUUGGUGAGGCGCUGCGACAUUGCUUUCCUCCUCCGACGGAUUAGUAGGCUCCGGAUCUGCCCGAAAUUU
rnacentral:lncRNA from 1 species